CACGCCGUAAACGGUGGGUACUAGGUGUGGGUUCCAUUUCACGGAAUCCGUGCCGUAGCUAACGCAUUAAGUACCCCGCCUGGGGAGUACGGCCGCAAGGCUAAAACUCAAAGGAAUUGACGGGGGCCCGCACAAGCGGCGGAGCAUGUGGAUUAAUUCGAUGCAACGCGAAGAACCUUACCUGGGUUUGACAUACACCAGACGUAUGUAGAGAUACAUAUUCCCUUGUGGUUGGUGUACAGGUGG
rnacentral:rRNA from 1 species